rnacentral:rRNA from 1 species
GUGGGGAAUUUUGGACAAUGGGCGCAAGCCUGAUCCAGCAAUGCCGCGUGUAGGAAGAAGGCCUUCGGGUUGUAAACUGCUUUUGUACGGAACGAAACGGUCCUGGUUAAUACCUGGGGCUAAUGACGGUACCGUAAGAAUAAGCACCGGCUAACUACGUGCCAGCAGCCGCGGUAAUACGUAGGGUGCGAGCGUUAAUCGGAAUUACUGGGCGUAAAGCGUGCGCAGGCGGUGCUGUAAGACAGGCGUGAAAUCCCCGGGCUCAACCUGGGAAUUGCGCUUGUGACUGCAGUGCUGGAGUACGGCAGAGGGGGAUGGAAUUCCGCGUGUAGCAGUGAAAUGCGUAGAUAUGCGGAGGAACACCGAUGGCGAAGGCAGUCCCCUGGGCCUGUACUGACGCUCAUGCACGAAAGCGUGGGGAGCAAACAGGAUUAGAAACCCGGGGUAGUCC